rnacentral:rRNA from 1 species
AGGAUGAACGCUGGCGGCGUGCCUAACACAUGCAAGUCGAACGUCCUGUCUCGCAAGAGGCAGGGAGUGGCGGACGGGUGAGUACCACGUGGGUCAUCUACCGUGAGGUGAGGAAUACCGGCGAGAAAUCGCCGACAAGACCGCAUAGGCUCGAUGCAAGUCGAGCAAAGCUCUUUCGAGAGAGGGAGCGCCACACGAGGAGCCUGCGCCCGAUUAGCUAGCUGGUGGAGUAACGGUUCACCAGGGCGACGAUCGGUAGCUGGUCUGAGAGGACGAUCAGCCACACUGGAUUGAGAACGGCCCAGACUCCUACGGGGGCAGCAGUGAGGAAUUUUCGUCAAUGGGGGCAACCCUGAACGAGCAACGCCGCGUGCAGGAAGAAGGUUUCGGAUCGUAAACUGUCUUUUCGUCGGGGAAGAGGAACGGACGGUACCCGAGGAAUCAGCCCCGGCUAACUACGCGCCAGCAGCCGCGGU